GAUAUUUUCUUCUAGUGGUUUGUGCGUAUUAUAGCUGUAUGUUGUUUUUCUUAAUGAAUUUGCACAAUUCAUUAAAGUGUUCGCUGGAGAAGGUUUUGAGAAUCGCAGGACAUACAAAGAUUUGAUGAUUGUCGGUGUUUGGCAUAUUGCAGAUUUCGCAUAUGUUGGAAUUUUCAGCUUUUAUUAAAAACAGGAGUGAGGUUGGUGCCGGCAAACCAGUGACGAGUUGGCGGUUCAGGAAAAAACUGGGAGAAGUGUUGACAAACUAAUGAAUAGCCAUCCUUUAUGGCCAGCUUAGUGGUUAUGGAUGCCCCGACUUGGGCUGCGCAUUUUGCAAAGGAGUCUGCCCGUUCAUUAGCAGGAAUACCAAUAUGUGAGGGAGUCCAAAUAAAGAAUGUGAGUCGUCUGUGGGGACUGUGAUUUUGGUUCCUGUUAAUAAACUGUUUGUUGCAAAUGGAAGCAGUGACUGCUGGAAACUUUUUAAUACAUUUAAGCCUUCUGUGCUAUUAAGAGAUAGAAAUUAUCUUGGCUGAAGGUGGGCUUGGAAGGCGAUAUUUGGAUUGGAUCGGCAAUGGCGUGACGUAUUUGAAUUCUGGGUGAAGCAACUUGGCUAUAUUUUGUUUUUGUAACUAUUUUGUUUAUUUCUUCAUAAACACUUCUUUUUGGUGCA
rnacentral:sRNA from 1 species